AUGGCCUACCAAGGCGACGACGGGUAGCCGGCCUGAGAGGGUGACCGGCCACACUGGGACUGAGACACGGCCCAGACUCCUACGGGAGGCAGCAGUGGGGAAUAUUGCACAAUGGGCGCAAGCCUGAUGCAGCGACGCCGCGUGAGGGAUGACGGCCUUCGGGUUGUAAACCUCUUUCAGUAGGGAAGAAGCCGUAAGGUGACGGUACCUGCAGAAGAAGCGCCGGCUAACUACGUGCCAGCAGCCGCGGUAAUACGUAGGGCGCAAGCGUUAUCCGGAAUUAUUGGGCGUAAAGAGCUCGUAGGCGGUUUGUCGCGUCUGCUGUGAAAGACCGGGGCUCAACUCCGGUUCUGCAGUGGGUACGGGCAGACUAGAGUGCAGUAGGGGAGACUGGAAUUCCUGGUGUAGCGGUGAAAUGCGCAGAUAUCAGGAGGAACACCGAUGGCGAAGGCAGGUCUCUGGGCUGUAACUGACGCUGAGGAGCGAAAGCAUGGGGAGCGAACAGGAUUAGAUACCCUGGUAGUCCAUGCCGUAAACGUUGGGCACUAGGUGUGGGGGACAUUCCACGUUUUCCGCGCCGUAGCUAACGCAUUAAGUGCCCCGCCUGGGGAGUACGGCCGCAAGGCUAAAACUCAAAGGAAUUGACGGGGGCCCGCACAAGCGGCGGAGCAUGCGGAUUAAUUCGAUGCAACGCGAAGAACCUUACCAAGGCUUGACAUGAACCGGUAAUACCUGGAAACAGGUGCCCCGCUUGCGGUCGGUUUACAGGUGGUGCAUGGUUGUCGUCAGCUCGUGUCGUGAGAUGUUGGGUUAAGUCCCGCAACGAGCGCAACCCUCGUUCUAUGUUGCCAGCGGUUCGGCCGGGGACUCAUAGGAGACUGCCGGGGUCAACUCGGAGGAAGGUGGGGACGACGUCAAAUCAUCAUGCCCCUUAUGUCUUGGGCUUCACGCAUGCUACAAUGGCCGGUACAAAGGGUUGCGAUACUGUGAGGGGAGCUAAUCCCAAAAACCGAUCUCAGUUCGGAUUGGGGUCUGCAACUCGACCCCAUGAAGUCGGAGUCGCUAGUAAUGCAGAUCAGCAAC
rnacentral:rRNA from 1 species